UACGGGGGGGGGCAAGCGUUGUCCGGAAUCAUUGGGCGUAAAGAGCGUGUAGGCGGCUGGGUAGGUCCGCUGUGAAAACUCCAGGCUUAACCUCGAGACGUCGGUGGAAACCAUCCAGCUAGAGUCCGGAAGAGGAGAGUGGAAUUCCUGGUGUAGCGGUGAAAUGCGCAGAUAUCAGGAGGAACACCGGUGGCGAAGGCGGGUCUCUGGGCCGAAAUUGACGCUGAGGAGCGAAAGCGUGGGGAGCAAACAGG
rnacentral:rRNA from 1 species